rnacentral:rRNA from 1 species
GUGGGGAAUAUUGGGCAAUGGGCGAAAGCCUGACCCAGCAACGCCGCGUGAAAGAAGAAGGUCUUCGGAUCGUAAACUUCUAUCCUUGGUGAAGAUAAUGACGGUAGCCGAGAAGGAAGCCCCGGCUAACUACGUGCCAGCAGCCGCGGUAAUACGUAGGGGGCAAGCGUUGUCCGGAAUGAUUGGGCGUAAAGGGCGCGUAGGCGGCCUGGUAAGUCUGGAGUGAAAGUCCUGCUUUUAAGGUGGGAAUUGCUUUGGAUACUGUCGGGCUUGAGUGCAGGAGAGGUAAGUGGAAUUCCCGGUGUAGCGGUGAAAUGCGUAGAGAUCGUGAGGAACACCAGUGGCGAAGGCGACUUACUGGACUGUAACUGACGCUGAGGCGCGAAAGUGUGGGGAGCAAACAGGAUUAGAAACCCGAGUAGUCC